ensembl:snoRNA SNORA71 Small nucleolar RNA SNORA71
UCCUGCAUCCGAAAGUGAUCAUAGGCUGCCUGUGCCCUGGUCGUUGGUAGUGCAGGGAAAGGAUGCUGAAAGACAUUUCUCAUGUUUGGAGGGUCCUCCUUGACCCCCAAACCCUGGAACUUUCCCACA